UCGUAAAAAUGGCUGUGUCGUG
rnacentral:miRNA from 1 species